rnacentral:misc_RNA from 1 species
AGUUAAAAAAAGAAAAAAAAAACUCUGGAAAAGUGUCUUGAUAAAGGACAAAAUAGCAACUAUUUUAUUAGCACAUUAAUUAGCAUGUGAUCUUCAAUUUUGUUAUGAGUGGAAUUUGUCUAGCAGAGCUAAAUGAUGAAAAAUGAUCCAUAUAUCCGACCCCAACUAGUUUGGGAUUAGGGCUUAGUUGUUUUUGUUAUAUUCACUAAUCUAAUGUUUAGUAAUUUAUAAGAAAAUUGCAAAUUCUUUUUCUCGUCUAACAAACUUAUCAAACUACAUAUUAGUGGGUAAAAGUAUUAAAAAACAAUGAUUGCUCAACUCUUAAAGCACUCAUUGAACAGCCUUCUUUGACUAUUUAUGAAUCUUUUACACACACAUUUUAAAGGAUAGUGAUAUUGCCAAACUUUAGGUAUAGUGCAAGGAUAUUUUGGAUAUUUGAAUUGACAAAAGUACCACAUUGUCACGGGUCUAGUAUCAACACUCAUUUGGGACUGUAUCCCUAUGGUACUAAGCUUGAACUUUUUGAAGGCAAGUCAGCCAAGUUAAUCUCACAAUAAUAUGUGGAUCAAAAUGAGUAUAUUAGUAUGUGCCUUUGGCAAGCCAAUUGGGAAAUACUUUACAAGCAUUGCAUAUAAGCAAACAUCACAAUAUAAUAAGCACGCCAAAUAAGGAGGUAAGAAUAUUCAAUGAGUGGUUUACUUCAGUUAUUCAUAUAGUAUAAUUAAUACAAUGGGACAGAUAAUCCUCACAUCACUUGUAGGCAGGGGGAAAACCUACAAGGAGUAAAGGGACAGAGACUCGAUAGAUUUGGUGGCUAGCUGGGCGUAACAAUGGCUAACUAGUCAUUUCCCCUAAAGAGCGUUAGGGAUAUAAUUGGAUGCAAUAGAAAGAGAUAUCACUAUGCUUAAGUCAUCACACUCCUAAAAUUACAUAUAUAGAAAUAAAUACAAAUACAUGGAUAUUCCCUUAUUUAGUCCCUAAAAUUUAUAUUUUACUACUCAAAUUUUCUACCUCUUGACAUUCUCCCCAUUCAAACGGUCGAUGUCCCUGUCGACUGAUCUUGUAAUAACUUCUCAGUCUUUUUUGUGUAUGUGGUUGUAGAAUACGCGAUGAAAUACUGCAUCAUUAAAAAUCCUCACUAAGAAAAACCCAAUGAAAAAACCUUAAAGAAGAAAAAAAGAGUGCAGUGCGUAUUUAUAAAACUGUGCUUGUAAGAACUCUUCAAUCUUCUGCUUGUAUGGUUGGAGGUCUAUUUCCUUCUCCCAAUUAGUUUCUUCUGCACUCAAACCCUUUCAUUUGACAAAGUACUUCUUAUACGGCUAACGCUUGGUGAUUUUGACAACACGCUCUGCCAACAUCUCUUUUAUUCCUUGGUUGAUUGAUAGUGUGUGAGUGAAAGAUGAUCUGGAAGAUCUGUUGCGGUUGGGAUCUAUCUCAUCUGCAUGAUAUGAGUUCAAUCUGCUGAUAUGGAAAACUGGGUGAAUCUUCAUCUAUUCUGGUGGUUCCACUCUAUAAGCAACUUGGCCAACUCUAGCAAUUAGUGUUGACCUUUUGUACUUACGAACUAGUCUUUUGUUUCGAUUGCGAAGGAAUCGGAGAUGAUCUGGUAGCAACUUCAUCAUGCCUAGUUCUUCAAUUGCAAAUUCUUGUAGCCUUCAAUUCUUGUCUGCCCAUUUCAUGAUGUGUUUGGAUGAUUUUUCUAAUUGAGCUCUUGCAAUUUCUGCAUUUUGCUUUCACUUAUUUGUGAAGUGGUAUGCUUUGGGAUUUCUACUUGUGUAAGGACCAUCCAAAAUAUGAGGUGCUAAAGGCUGUUAGCCUGUAACAAUAUCAAAAGGACUUUUGUUAAUAGUAGAGCUCUUUAAAGAAUUAAAACAAAAUUGUGCCACAAGUAUUCCUCUGGCAGCCCAUUAAAUCUCUCUGUUUGGUCAUCUAUUUGAGGAUGAAAACUUGUUGAAACAUCUAGCCUAGAGCCUGAAAGGCAGAACAGUUCUGACCAUAAUGAUCCUACAAUUUUGUUUUAAUUCUUUGAAAAGCUCUUCUAUUAAUAAAAGUCCUUUUGAGAUUGU